AUUGAACGCUGGCGGCAUGCUUUACACAUGCAAGUCGAACGGUAACAGGGUGCUUGCACCGCUGACGAGUGGCGAACGGGUGAGUAAUGCGUCGGAACGUGCCGAGUAGUGGGGGAUAACGCAGCGAAAGUUGUGCUAAUACCGCAUACGUACUGAGGUAGAAAGUGGGGGACCUUCGGGCCUCACGCUAUUCGAGCGGCCGACGUCUGAUUAGCUAGUAGGUGAGGUAAAGGCUCACCUAGGCGACGAUCAGUAGCGUGUCUGAGAGGAUGAUCCGCCACACUGGGACUGAGACACGGCCCAGACGCCGACGGGAGGCAGCAGUGGGGAAUAGUGGACAAUGGGCGAAAGCCUGAUCCAGCCAUGCCGCGUGUGUGAAGAAGGUCUUCGGAUUGUAAAGCACUUUAAGUCGGGAGGAAGGGCUGUAGGUUAAUACCCUGCGGUUUUGACGUUACCGACAGAAUAAGCACCGGCUAACUUCGUGCCAGCCGCCGCCGUAA
rnacentral:rRNA from 1 species